CGGGCAGGCGGUCUGUUAAGUCUUCUGUGAAAAUCCGGGGCUCAACCCCGUGAAAUGCAGGUGAUACUGGCAGACUGGAGUAUGGUAGAGGCAAGCGGAAUUCCUGGUGUAGCGGUGGAAUGCGUAGAUAUCAGGAAGAACACCUGUGGCGAAGGCGGCUUGCUGGGCCAUUACUGACACUCAUCCGCGAAAGCGUGGGGAGCAAACAGGAUUAGAUACCCUGGUAGUCC
rnacentral:rRNA from 1 species